UGAAUUUAAAAUCAUUUUAUCUUACUGGAUAUAUUUUAAUUAAAUGAGCACUUAGAAAUUUAAUUUAUUAUCCGCGACCUCGCAAGUCAGUAUAUUGAUCAAAACACAUUCAAUCAACACUCGAUCAUAACUUUAUUAUUUUCCAACUAAACUAACUCUAUAGAAGCUUGCGAUGUCACAACAACAAUAAUAAAUUAAAAUAAAAAUUAGUAAAUGAUAGAUGUAAGGUCAUACAUUUUAUGAUUAUAAGCGAUGUUAUUUAUACAAUUAAUGUCCAUACAAAUGGUCAGUCGUGUCAUCAUGUGGAAACCAAAAAAUUUUCUUCAAGCAUUGUUUCCUAUUUGUAUUUUAAAUUUUUUAUUUUGUCAUGGAGCUGUAGAAUUUUUGAAUAUUGAUAAAUCAAAAACUAAAUACUUUUUUUUAUACACCGUAAUUACACUUGUAAUUCAUCUGAGUAGCUACACCUAUGUAUUGUUUCAUUACUUUGACCUUUAUUGGGUAUCUGGUUACCUACUAUCGUAUUUUAUAAAUAUAAAUAUAACAUUUUUUGUGAUGAUUAUCAAUAUCGUCGCCGGGUGGGCCUUCAAAACUAAAAGUGCAAUGAUUAACACAAGAUUAAUAAAAGCUGAUUUAAUGCUUCAUAACUUAGGAAUACCAGUGAAUUUUAAAAAAGAAUUUUUUUUUAGCAUUAAAAUCGCCGUUUUUUGGAUUGUCUAUCUAUUUUUUAUUAAUAUAAGUAUGGUAUCAAUUUACCAAAAUCACAAUUUAUUAUUAAGAACUUAUUUGGUAAUUGUUAUUCAACAUGCAGAUUACGUUAAUUUAAUUAUUGAUCUGUCAUUUUAUCAGUUAAUAAAUCAUAUGAAAGUACGGUUUAAAAAUAUUAAUAAAAUAUUGAUCGAUAUUUUACAAUUGCAAAGUAAUAAUUCAACGCAUAAAGAAGAAACUGAUUACAAAUGGGCUAUUUCAAGAAAAAUUAGCUUUGAAAAAGAUUUUACAGAAAUUAUUCGUAAACUCAAAAAUAUUCAUUUGGAAUUGGAAAUAUUGUGCCGUGAGCUUAUGAAAGUUUACGGUAUCCCAACAGUCUUCACCAUGGUUAGAGCAUUUACAAAUACAACUUCUUUUUUUUUUCUCAUAUUCAUAAUUUUAAAAGAUGAGAAAAUGAUUUUAUCUGAUAAAAUACUUUUUUUAUCAAACUUUACAAUUUGGUUGACAGUUUUCAUAUUGAAAGUUAUUUUUAUCAAUUAUAUUUGCGCUGGAACAGUUAACGAGUGGCAAGAAACUGGCGUAACAAUUCAUAAACUGGAGUGUAAUUCCAAAGACUCUAAUUAUCAGAGAGAAAUUCAAAAAUUUUCAAUUCAAAUGCUGCAAAAUCCCCUGAAAUUUUCUCCUUGUGGAUUUUUCGACCUUGGAUAUUACUUUUUAAGAGAUUUUUUUGGAUCAGUGAGCUCACAAAUUUUUCUAUUGAUCCAAACUUAUCCAAUCCACAGUUCUGCAGCAAAGCAAUAAUUUUCAUCAAUAUUACACUUAAUUAAUUUGAAAUGUCAUACUUUUAAAUAAUUAAUACUAUUAAUGUGUGUAUCAUGUAGUAAUUAUCUACAAAGAUUAAGUGUUGAUAGAUAGUAAGUUGCAUAAAAUGUUAAGCGUUGAUUAUAAUUACGAUAAAUGACAAUUAAUUAAUCCACCUUCGUACGACGUAGAGUUAAUUACACAUUAACUCGUUCUUUCAAGAGAAAGAUUUCAUGUUGUAUUAAUAAUGUGGAAGCCAACGAAUUUGAUAGAAGCAAUGCUGCCGAUUUUUAUUCUCAGUUUGACAAUUUGUCACGGAGUGAUCCAAUAUCCUCGUGUUAGUAAAUCUAGAGUUUAUUACUCUUUUCUGUACUCAAUAAUUUCAACGAUAGUCUUCAUCGUGUGUUUUAUUAUUGUGCAUGUAAAUUACUUAAAAGAAUCUUGGACAAAUGAACAGUCUUUUUUGUAUUUAAUCAACAGCACUGCAAUGAAUUUUGUUAUGUUCAUCAAUAUUAUCGUCAGCUGGGUCUACAAAAAUAAAAUUUUAAUGAUCAAUUCAAGAAUCAUAACAGCUGAACAGAAUCUCAAGGAACUGGGACUUAAAAUUGAUGUUCACGGAAAAUAUAUUUCCGCAAU
rnacentral:misc_RNA from 1 species